AAAUACACAAAAAAGUGAAAAAAGUAUAUUUUAACAAGCAUUUCACAAGCAGGUUGAACAACGGAUUUUCUGAAACUCUGUUCACUGCCAUUGGUAAUUGCAAAAGACAUGAAUCGCCAGAUGUAGCAAAGUAGAUAUUUUAGAUUCUAUAACCCGAAUGCAAAUAUAAUACAAGCCUAAACAGAAAAAGACAUGGGCAUGGAAAACUAAUUUCUUGUUAGAGAGGUCUUCAUAUGUUAACAUGAGCACAGAGCAUGGCAUGAUAGAAUUAUUUCGAUUCUAAUAGGAAAAUUUAGAUCUAAAGUUCUUCGAAGCGGACCUGUAAUUUGCGUUUGAAAGGAAGCCAUUUUGAUUUGGUGAAACAAAAUCAAAUGUUAAACGAUAUGAAAUGAACAGAUACACAAAGACUUACUUUUAGAAUGAUUUUGUUCAAUUUCCAAGCGAGUCACACCAACACAAAUGUCUAUUUUUAUCUCCGGCGUUGUUCGAAAUUCUUCUGACGGUGCCUUUUUUUUUUAAAUUUCGGCGUCAAUCACGUGCAGCCAAAGUUUCAAUUGGAACAAGAACAUGGCUUUGCAUUCAAAGCCAAAAUAGGACGUUAUAUUAGAAUUAUUAAUUCAAUACCAUACAGAAAACAUUUAACUUGCGGAAAAGAAACAAAUGGUGCAAAAAUUAGUACACCAUAUCCGGAUUUCGACAAUAGAUGUCUCUUCACUGAUGUUAGGAAUCGAAACGGUAUUUGGAAGGUCAUAUAAUUUAGCUCAAUUAGAAUAUAUUCUUGAAUUCUAAAUUGUCAAAAUAGAACGAAGGGAUCAUAUAAACCUGAAGACAAAUAUAAUAAAAACUAAAAAGAAAGAAAAAAGAAAGAAAAAAGCGAAAAAAUAAAUUAAAACAAAAC
rnacentral:lncRNA from 1 species